GACGAACGCUGACGGUGUGCUUUAGACAUGCAAGUCGAACGAGAAAGCCCUUCGGGGUGAGUACAGUGGCGAACGGGUGAGUAACACGUGGGCAAUCUGCCCCUCGCAGGGGGACAACCGGGGGAAACCCCGGCUAAUACCCCGUACGCUUACGGAGCCGCAUGGCUCCAUAAGGAGAGGUAGCUUCGGCCAUCCGGCGAGGGAUGAGCCCGCGGUACAUUAGCUAGUUGGGGAGGUAACGGCUCACCAAGGCGACGAAGUAUAGCUGGUCUGAGAGGUAGAGCAGCCACACUGGGACUGAGACACGGCCCAGACUCCUACGGGAGGCAGCAGUCGGGAAUCUUGCGCGAUGGGCGAAAGCCUGACGCAGCAACACCGUGUGAGCGACGAAGGCCUUCGGGUCGUAAAGCUCUGUUGUUGGGGACGAAGGGUUAGGGGUUAAUAGCCCCGAGCCUGACGGUACCCUUCGAGGAAGCCCCGGCUAACUACGUGCCAGCAGCCGC
rnacentral:rRNA from 1 species